UUUCAGCGCUGGCCAUGCAGCACAUGGACCUGAAGCAGGUGGAGCUGGACUCGGCCGUGGCCAAGGUGGACGAGCUCUCCCGCCAGCUCGAGUCCCUCUGGACGGACGGGCCCGGACCCCCCCACAAAGAGCAGAGCAGCCCCGGCCGGAGCCGCUCGAGCCGCCGCAGCCUCCUGGGGGACGCGCUGGAAUUGGGGGGGGGUCUCGGGGACCCUUUGGGGCGACCCCCGCCCCAUUUCCUGGGCGGGGGGGCGGAGCUGGAACGCGCCCCCUCCCCCCGGCCCAAGGUGCUGGCCGUGCCCAGCCCCGGCGGGGGGGGAGGGGGCGGCAGAGCCCCCUCCCCACGGCCCCCUCCUCCUGCGGCCCUUGGAGCUGCUGGGGGGGCUCGGGGGGUCCCCGGGGGGGGCGUUCGGCACCGAGAGACCCCCGGCCCCCCCCCCGUACGAGGUGCAGGCGCUGUACCCGUCCCUGAGCGGCCCCCCCGGAACGUUCCGGACACAGGAUGACCUCGGCAUCAAGCGGCGGCCGCAGAAAAGUUGGAACGAGUCCGACCUGGACGUGGCCUACGAGAAAAAACCGGGGGGCUACGACCGGACCCCCGAGCCCCACGGCCGCCCCUCGCUGGGGCUCUGGAGGGAAUCCAGCCUCGACUCCGGCAAGGACGGCUCCUUCGGCGCUCACAGCGCCACCCUGCCGCGCAAUUACAAGCCGUCCGCCCUGGAGCGGCGGCCGGACGGGGGGGCCCCGCCGCUGUUCCGCUCGCCGCCGCUGUCGCGGACGCUGCCGCGGGG